CAGUAUUUUAACUGUGCAAAGGUAGCAUAAUCAUUAGUCUUUUAAUUGAAGGCUGGAAUGAAUGGUUGAAUGAAAUAUUAACUGUUUCAAAUAAAUUAAUAAUAGAAUUUUAUUUUUUAGUUAAAAAGCUAAAAUUUAUUUAAAAGACGAGAAGACCCUAUAAAUCUUUAUAUUUUGGUUUAUAUUUGUUAUAUAGAUUAUUUAAAUUUUUAUAAAUUAAAAUAUUUUAUUGGGGUGAUAUUAAAAUUUAAUAAACUUUUAAUAAAAUAAUAACAAAAAUUAUUGAAUUAUUGAUCCAUAAAUAAUGAUUAAGAAAUUAAGUUACUUUAGGGAUAACAGCGUAAUUUUUUUAGAGAGUUCUUAUUAAUAAAAAAGUUUGCGAC
rnacentral:rRNA from 1 species